rnacentral:lncRNA from 1 species
AGACUUUAGAUUUUUUGAGACUUGAGGAGACAAGAUGGAUGCUUACUUUGUAGCUUGGUAUUCCUCAAAGCAAAGAGAAUUUAGAUUUUUUGAGACUUGAGGAGACAGGAUGGAUGCUUACUUUCUUGUAUUUUGAUAGUAACCUUUCAAAUUCAUUUGUAUUUUGAUAGGAGCCUUUGAAAUUUUCUUGUACAAGGAUUCACUUGCAACUUAAAAGUAUUAUUUCUCGUAUGGCGUGAUGGAAUGAAGAGAGGUGGUUUACAU